ensembl:lncRNA
AAAGAAUGUGGUUGUAAAUCAAAAAGAAGAUCAUUUUUGUUAUCAAUCAAUAGGUCAGGAAAUGAUAAAUGUAAUAUAUAAACUCAAGUAAAUGAAUAUUUACUGUAUAAUAUAGUAAAAUUACAGGAGAGGACCUUUAAGCGAAGCUUACGUGUGAAUCAAUAAUAUUGUGUUGUUGUUGCGGCUUGUGCGUAUUUCAUAUUUUAUUACAAUGUGUGUGUGACAGAUAAAAAACCAUUGCAACCAUUAUCAAUAUCCAAUCCACCAGUCUGUGUGUGGGGGGGGGGGUCUCUGUCCCCUCCCCCCUCACUAAACUGCUCUGUGAGAUCGACUGAGAGGGGGAGAGGGCGGGGUGAGCGAUAUGUGAGGGAGGAGAGGAAGAAAGGGUGAGUCAGUGUUACCUAGAGACAGAGAGAGAGAGAUACAGAGCGAGAGAGAGAGGUAGAGAUACGGAGAGAGAGAGAGAGGUAGAGAUACGGAGAGAGAGAGAGAGAGGUAGAGAUACAGAGCGAGAGAGAGAGAUACGGAGAGAGAGAGAGAGAGGUAGAGAUACGGAGAGAGAGAGAGUGUCAUGCAUCGCUGAGUGACAGCCGAGCCAGCCAUCGAGCGUCCGGUUCUCCGCCGGCAGACACACGGGCAAACGCGAGGGUGAUGGAGGACGGAGGGGCGAGGCUGCUGCAUGCGGUAACCAUGGCGCAGCCGUCUCCGUGCGCGUCGCCGGGCACCCGUCGCCGUAGCGAUGGUUCGGUAAGAGAGUCUCUGUUCUUCCCCGUUUCCGAACGCAACGAGCAGGAGAGGCUGGAGGCCCUGGUCCGCCGGAGAGCAGGAGGCGCCGAGAGACGAGGAGGAGGAGGGGGAGGAGGAGGGGGAGGAG